rnacentral:rRNA from 1 species
UACGUAGGGUGCAAGCGUUGUCCGGAAUUAUUGGGCGUAAAGGGCUCGUAGGCGGUUUGUCGCGUCGGGAGUGAAAACUCAGGGCUUAACCCUGAGCCUGCUUCCGAUACGGGCAGACUAGAGGUAUGCAGGGGAGAACGGAAUUCCUGGUGUAGCGGUGAAAUGCGCAGAUAUCAGGAGGAACACCGGUGGCGAAGGCGGUUCUCUGGGCAUUACCUGACGCUGAGGAGCGAAAGUGUGGGGAGCGAACGGG